rnacentral:misc_RNA from 1 species
CCGAGUGCAGGUCUGCCCCUGGGCAGGCCUAACCUCCCACCCGUGAAUACCUGACCAACGUUGCUUCGGCGGUGCGCCCCUCCGGGGGCAGCCGCCGGAGACCACACCGAACCUCUUGUUUAAGCCUGUUGUCUGAGCUUGAUAGCAAAUCUAUUA